AAUCAACGCUGGCGGCGUGCCUCAGACAUGCAAGUCGAACGCGAAAGUCCCUUUCGGGGGGCAAGUAGAGUGGCGCACGGGUGAGUAACACGUAGGUAAUCUACCUUCGGAUGGGGAAUAACAAUCGGAAACGGUUGCUAAUACCGCAUAAUGCAGCGGCACCUAAUGGUGACAGUUGUUAAAGCGGGGGAUCGAAAGACCUCGCGUCUGAAGAGGAGCCUGCGGCGGAUUAGCUAGUUGGUAAGGUAACGGCUUACCAAGGCCACGAUCCGUAGCCGGCCUGAGAGGGCGGUCGGCCACACUGACACUGACAUACGGGUCAGACUCCUACGGGAGGCAGCAGUCGGGAAUUUUGGGCAAUGGGCGAAAGCCUGACCCAGCAACGCCGCGUGAAGGAUGAAAUCCCUCGGGAUGUAAACUUCGCAAGAACAGGAAGAAUAAGUAGGGGACAAUACCCCCUAUGAUGACGGUACUGUUUGUAAGCUCCGGCUAACUCCGUGCCAGCAGCCGCGGUAAUACGGGGGGAGCAAGCGUUGUUCGGAUUUACUGGGCGUAAAGGGCGCGUAGGCGGUCAGCACAAGUCAGUUGUGAAAUCUCCGAGCUUAACUCGGAAAGGUCAACUGAUACUGUGCGACUAGAGUGCAGAAGGGGCAACUGGAAUUCUCGGUGUAGCGGUGAAAUGCGUAGAUAUCGAGAGGAACACCUGCGGCGAAGGCGGGUUGCUGGGCUGACACUGACGCUGAGGCGCGAAAGCUAGGGGAGCGAACGGGAUUAGAUACCCCGGUAGUCCUAGCCUUAAACGAUGAAUGCUUGGUGUCUGGGGUUAUAAAGUCCCUGGGUGCCGUCGCUAACGCUUUAAGCAUUCCGCCUGGGGAGUACGGUCGCAAGACUG
rnacentral:rRNA from 1 species